rnacentral:rRNA from 1 species
UACGGAGGGUGCAAGCGUUAUCCGGAUUUACUGGGUUUAAAGGGUGCGUAGGUGGGUAGGUAAGUCAGUGGUGAAAUCUUCAAGCUUAACUUGGAAACUGCCAUUGAUACUAUUUAUCUUGAAUACUUUGGAGGUAAGCGGAAUAUGUCAUGUAGCGGUGAAAUGCUUAGAUAUGACAUAGAACACCAAUUGCGAAGGCAGCUCACUACACAAUCAUUGACGCUGAGGCACGAAAGCGUGGGGAUCAAACAGG